rnacentral:ncRNA from 1 species
AGGCAGGACUUCUGUCCUUUCUUAAACCGUCCCCUCGGGGGC